UCCAGGGCCAACCCAACCUCCUUACUCAGCAGUGGCAGACAGUUCCUUCCUGCUCCUCCUCAGUGAUCAGCUGGCAGAAGAAACCCAGGAACAGAGUGUGCUGCUCCACACCUGCUACAACUUUGCUGCCAAAAAGAGUCUAGCCCAAUAGUCUAAUCUCAGCUCUUCGGGAUUUCAGGAAGGAUCCCCCACAUCAGCCCUACAUAGAGACGCCAAGGAUUGAACCCCGGCGGGACUUUUCUAUGUAAACCACUUUCACAACUUUUGUACUGAAGUGGCAUAAGCCUUAAGCAAUCUAACAUGCAAGCAAGCCAUGUGAUGCAAGUGCAGGCAGGGGAAAUCACAGGUUUGAAUGCCCCUCCAUGGAAGAACACCCUGCUUGAAGAGAAGAAGCAUGUCAGAAAAGGAAGCGGCAGUCUAGCUUUCUCCCUGACAUUUUGUAUCAACUCUGAUGCUUGAGAUCUCCCACCUGCACACUCUGAAGUGGUACAUAUGGUGAAUGCUGCACCAUAUGACUCCUCUGCAAGUAGAGAUCCGCCUUGUUUGGGAUUGCAGAUACGGUCUUUCUGCUUCAUCCUAAGGGAGCAGAUGUGUAGCUGCACUCUUUUUCACCCCUUGGUUGCUCUGCAAGUCAAACAGUUGUCAGAGAUAAUACAUUAAA